AUGGCUCAUUAAAUCAGUUAUGAUCUACGUGACAAUUACUUACUACUUGGAUAACCGUGGUAAUUCUAGAGCUAAUACAUGCAUAAAAACCCAAUCGUAAGAUUGGGUGCACUUAUUAGAUAAAACCAACACUGGGUAAAACCAGGUUCUUUGGUGAUUCAUAAUAAUUCAGCGGAUCGCAUGGCUUUGUGCUGGCGACGGUCCACUCGAUUUUCUGCCCUAUCAGGCUUUUGAUUGUAAGGUAGUGGCUUACAAUGGCGACAACGGGUAACGGGGAAUUAGGGUUCGAUUCCGGAGAGGGAGCCUGAGAAACGGCUACCACAUCCAAGGAAGGCAGCAGGCGCGCAAAUUACCCAAUCCCAAUUCGGGGAGGUAGUGACAAUAAAUAACAAUGCAGGGCCACAUGGCCUUGCAAUUGGAAUGAGUACAAUUUAAAUCCCUUAACGAGGAUCAAUUGGAGGGCAAGUCUGGUGCCAGCAGCCGCGGUAAUUCCAGCUCCAAUAGCGUAUAUUAAAGUUGUUGCAGUUAAAACGUCCGUAGUCAAAUUUUAGUUUGUAGGCGUAGUGAUCUGUUCUUCAUUGAGCGGAUUUUCUUGCGCCUCGACUUUUUUCUUGUGUAUGCUAGUGUUGGCUUCGGUCGGUGCUAGUCUUUAUGCAAGUGAUUACCAUGAGCAAAUCAGAGUGUUUAAAGCAGGCCUUCGUGCCUGAAUGUGUUAGCAUGGAAUAAUGAAAUAUGACCGAGUUCCUAUUUCGUUGGUUGAGGAACAUCAGAAAUGAUGAAUAGAAACGGUUGGGGGCAUUUGUAUUCGGUCGCUAGAGGUGAAAUUCUUGGAUUGACCGAAGACAAACUACUGCGAAAGCAUUUGACCCAGGACGUUUUCAUUGAUCAGGGACUAAAGUUGAGGGAUCGAAGACGAUUAGAUACCGUCGUAGUCUUAACCACAAACUAUGCCGACUAGCGAUUGGGCUCUAUCCUU
rnacentral:rRNA from 1 species